rnacentral:misc_RNA from 1 species
GAUGAAGAACGUAGCGAAAUGCGAUAAGUAGUGUGAAUUGCAGAAUUCAGUGAAUCAUCGAAUCUUUGAACGCACAUUGCGCCCCUUGGUAUUCCAUGGGGCAUGCCUGUUCGAGCGUCAUUUGUACCUUCAAGCUUUGCUUGGUGUUGGGUGUUUGUCCAUUCUCUUGCAGAGGGACUCGCCUUAAAGUAAUUGGCAGCCAGUGUUUUGGUUUUGAAGCGCAGCACAAGUCGCGAUUCAACGCUAUACGCCAGCUUCCACAAGCCUUUUUCACUUUUGACCUCGGAUCAGGUAGGGAUACCCGCCGAACUUAAGCAUAUCAAUAAGCGGAGGA